rnacentral:pre_miRNA from 1 species
GGGGGGAGGCCGGAUCCUGGGCUGUGUCCCCAGUCCCCAGUGCUCCCGUCCUGCGCUGUUGGAUUCUUGUUCCCGGCCCAGCAGCCGCCU